AACAUGCAGCUUCCACCUUGUGGGCGGACAGGACUACUCUAGCUCCAGCCAUCACACCUGCAUUUCAACUAUUGGGAAGGGGAUAAGUGGAAAGGGAGAGCAUACUUCUUUCCCUCAAGCUGUGCUUGAUGGAAACAUCUGUUCUUCAGGUAAAAGCCAAGAAGAACCAGUUUUAGACUGGUGUGUGAUUUGCUGAAGAGCUUGGAAGGUACCAGAGGAGAUUCAUGUCGAAAUCCCAUCUCCUGUUCUCCAACCUUACUUUCUAUGAAGACAAAACUUUGAAGACAAACUGAGUUUCCACAGGAAUAAUCACACAGAAGGACAGACCACUGCUAAUUUAGGUAGCUGGCGAUGCAGGGGUGUUGCCUCCUCUCCAGCAUGUCAGCCCAACUUCCUUUCAGUCUCUGCUGUCCAACACCCAGUCUAGCUAGUUCAAACUCAUCGUCUCACCAAAUUCCAAGGCUAUUAAAGAUUCAAGGACAGGGCUCAGUUGGUUAAGCAUCCAACUCUUGAUUUCAGCUCAGGUCAUGAUCUCACCGUUCAUGAGUUCAAGCCCCAUGCUGGGCUCUGCACUGACAGUGCGGAGCCUGCUUGGGAUUCUCUCUCCUACCCUCUCUCUGCACCCCCAUAUGUUUCUCUCAAAAUAAAUAAAUAAAUAAAUAAAUAAAUAAAUAAAUAUUUUUUUAAAAAGGGGUGUGGGGCAGCUGGGAGGCUCAGUCAGUUACGCAUCCAGCUCUUGGUUUUGGCUCAGGUCAUGAUCUCACGGUUUGUGGGUUUGAGCCCCACAUCAGGCUCCACACUGGCAAUGCGGAGCCUGCUUGGGAUUGUCUUUCUAUCCUUCUCUCUCUGUCCCUCCCCUGCUCACUCUCUCUCUCUGUC